rnacentral:rRNA from 1 species
GACGAACGCUGGCGGCGUGCCUAAUACAUGCAAGUCGAACGCACUCUCGUUUAGAUUGAAGGAGCUUGCUCCUGAUUGAUAAACAUUUGAGUGAGUGGCGGACGGGUGAGUAACACGUGGGUAACCUGCCCUAAAGUGGGGGAUAACAUUUGGAAACAGAUGCUAAUACCGCAUAAAACCUAACACCGCAUGGUGUAAGGGUUGAAAGAUGGUUUCGGCUAUCACUUUAGGAUGGACCCGCGGUUGCAUUAGUUAGUUGGUGAGGUAAAGGCUCACCAAGACCGUGAUGCAUAGCCGACCUGAGAGGGUAAUCGGCCACACUGGGACUGAGACACGGCCCAGACUCCUACGGGAGGCAGCAGUAGGGAAUCUUCCACAAUGGACGAAAGUCUGAUGGAGCAACGCCGCGUGAGUGAAGAAGGUUUUCGGAUCGUAAAACUCUGUUGUUGGAGAAGAAUGUAUCUGAUAGUAACUGAUCAGGUA